GAGAAAUGGUGGAAAAAAAUCCAAAGGAGGCAGAGCCCUUCUGAAGGAGAGCACAGGAGGGGUGCGGGAGCCCCCGUGGCUGCAGCCCUUCCCACAGAGGAGCCACGGCCUCGCCCGCCGCACCGAGAGUCUCGCCAGGCAGUCCCUGUGCGCUCAGCUCCCCCACCCUCAGACCGUGAGGGGCUGCUCUCGGGUCGAACCCCAGGGUUCUCUGAAGGGGCUGCCGUGUUAUGCGGAACGGUAGAGGAGUUGUGCUUCUCCAGCAGUCCCUGACGCGGGUGUUACUGUCUUGUAGGUGGUGAAGCUGCUGCUGCGGUACGGAGGGAACCCGCAGCAGAGCAACAGGAAAGGCGAGACGCCGCUGAAAGUGGCCAACUCCCCCACGAUGGUGAACCUCCUGUUAGGCAAAGGCACUUACACUUCCAGCGAGGAGAGCUCGACGGAGAGCUCAGAAGAGGAAGACGCACCAUCCUUCGCACCUUCCAGUUCAGUCGACGGCAACAACACGGACUCCGAGUUCGAAAAAGGCCUCAAGCACAAGGCCAAGAACCCAGAGCCACAGAAGGCCACAGCUCCCGUCAAGGACGAGUAUGAGUUUGACGAGGACGACGAGCAGGACAGGGUUCCUCCGGUGGACGACAAGCACCUGUUGAAAAAGGACUACAGAAAAGAAACGAAAUCCAAUAGUUUUAUCUCUAUACCCAAAAUGGAGGUUAAAAGUUACACUAAAAAUAACACGAUUGCACCAAAGAAAGCGUCCCAUCGUAUCCUGUCAGACACGUCGGACGAGGAGGACGCGAGUGUCACCGUGGGGACAGGAGAGAAGCUGAGACUCUCGGCACAUACGAUAUUGCCUGGUAGUAAGACACGAGAGCCUU
rnacentral:sRNA from 1 species